UUGGCAUUUUGUCCUUGUUUGUUGCUCUGCCAGGCUUGGCACUCCUAUUUCAGCUUUCCCUCUCUUGGAGAGGACCAUCCCUUGGCACGGCUGCCAGUACUUCCAGCUGGGAGGCAGCAGCGGGAGCAGGACCGGAAUGGCAAGGGGGAGAACCAGGCUGCCACAGGCCAGCACCACGGAAACCUCAGCAGGUUGGAGGGUAGGUGCAGGAGACAAAACCUCAAGUUGCACCUAGAUGUUCAAUGGGAAAAUGAGCUGAAGCAAAACAAAGGAGGCCAUCUCAUUUCCCACCAGCGGAGGACCAACAGUACAAUGGCAGGCACAUGCUGAAGAAAGAAGCAAAGAUUUUUCUUCAAAAUUAUUUUGGGAGCGAGCUGUUACUUGGAAGCAGAGAGAGAAGCUCGUGUUAGAAUAGCUGCUCCAAGAACAGUAACUCUGCCUGGAUGAAUUUAUAAUAGCCACUUUAACUGGUGCCAGGAAGACACCGAACUUCCAGUGAGUCAUUUUUCCACAGCCUUGAAUAGGUCAGGAUGAACUUCAGCUGUUUGCAUGAUGGUGAAUUGCAGGACCAGGAACACUGUGUUCAAGACCAUGUUACUGGAAGUGGCUGACAGACCACUUGGGCAGAUCACUACCUCCGUGCAAGCAGAUCAGUUGUCGGGGAGGAGAGGAGUGUGUGUGGCACCCAGAUGUACUGGGAGCUUUCAUCAGUGGAGCAGAAUGUUUGGCACCCAAGGUUAUCACCUGCUGUAUGUCUUUCUGGGAUUGCCCAGGGACUGCAGAACCUCGUGGCUGAGGACUGGGAUGCAAGAGUGGGUCUGCAGUGUUGGUGGCACCAGAGGAAUCCUUACACAAGCUUCAGAUGGAAAAACCUGA